CUAACUGUAUCCUCACAGGGCCUCCUGAUGCAGCCAGUUAUUAUGGGCUUGCAUUUUCUGCACUUAGGAUGCUGAUAAAUGUCAUCCCAAGUUCAUUUUCCUUCUUUUUUAACCAUUUAGGAGGGGUGGGGGAGAAGUUGCACCUGAAAACUGGGGAAGUUAGAAGUUUGGUGCUUACCCAAAGAUACCGUUCCUGGCAAUCUUGAGGUUAUUCGUGGGGAGGGUGACAAACACCAAAUCACAGGAGAGGAGAGUAAACAAUAUAUCGCAUGACUCUUGAAAAUAAGCUAUCUACGGGAUUCACUUUGAAGUUUAUAAAGCCGGCAAUACUGCUCCAACUUCCCAGUUGGUAUUGAUUGGCCUGGUUGAUGUUGACACAUGGUGCCUCCUGCAAGCAGAACUCAGGAAAGGGAAGCAGGUCCUAAGUUUGUUUUCCAUGUGAUAUACAACUCUAAUCUGGAAGACUUUUGGUGGGAAGGGAAUUUAUGGGCCCAGUCCUUGCCAGGUCUCCAAACUGGCAGAUGCAAUCUCCACCCUGCUGAAAAACAGCUCUGUCAAAGAAAGUGCCAAUUUCAGUAACCAAUGUCAAAGAAGCAUCCAGGCCCACAAACCACCCUUUGAUGUGGCGUAUAGAUAUAUAUAGAACCACUUGUCAAAAAAAAAAAAAAACAACCCACACACAAAA